rnacentral:rRNA from 1 species
UGCAAGUCGAGCGAGAACCUUUUGAGCUUGCUUAGAAGGGGACAGCGGCGGACGGGAGAGUAACGCGUGGACUACCUACCUUAGGGUUCGGGAUAGCCGUGGGAAACCGCGGAUAAUACCGAAUAACAUCUCCGGAUCAAAGCUCCAGCGCCCUUUGACGGGUCCGCGUCCUACUAGCUAGUUGGUGCGGUAAUGGCUCACCAAGGCGACGAUGGGUACCGGGUGUGAGAGCAUGGCCCGGCUCACUGGGACUGAGACACUGCCCAGACACCUACGGGUGGCUGCAGUCGAGAAUCUUCGGCAAUGGACGCAAGUCUGACCGAGCGACGCCGCGUGCGGGAUGAAGGCCUUCGGGUUGUAAACCGCUGUCAGAGGGGAUGAAAUUUUGACAUAUCCUCAGAGGAAGGACGGGCUAAGUUCGUGCCAGCAGCCGCGGUAAGACGAACCGUCCAAACGUUAUUCGGAAUCACUGGGCUUAAAGGGUGCGUAGGCGGCCUGGUAAGUUGGGUGUGGAAUCUCUCGGCUCAACCGAGAAACUGCGCCCAAAACUACUAGGCUUGAGGGAGUCAGAGGUGAGCGGAACUCAGGGUGGAGCGGUGAAAUGCGUUGAUAUCCUGGGGAACACCCGGUUGCCGAAAGCUGCUCACUGGGGCUCUUCUGACGCUGAGGCACGAAAGCUCAGGGAGCAAACGGGAUUAGAU